UACGGAGGGGGCUAGCGUUGUUCGGAAUUACUGGGCGUAAAGCGCACGUAGGCGGCUUUUGUAAGUUAGAGGUGAAAGCCCGGGGCUCAACUCCGGAAUUGCCUUUAAGACUGCAUCGCUAGAAUUUGUGGGAGAGGUAAGUGGAAUUCCGAGUGUAGAGGUGAAAUUCGUAGAUAUUCGCAAGAACACCAGUGGCGAAGGCGGCUCACUGGCCCGAUACUGACGCUGAGGCACGAAAGCGUGGGGGAGCAAACAGG
rnacentral:rRNA from 1 species